UACGUAGGCAGCGAGCGUUGUUCGGAGUUACUGGGCGUAAAGCGUGCGUAGGCGGUGCUCCAAGUCUGUUGUGAAAUCUCCCGGCUUAACUGGGAGGGUGCGGCGGAAACUGGGGUGCUGGAGUGCGGGAGAGGUAAGCGGAAUUCCCGGUGUAGCGGUGAAAUGCGUAGAUAUCAGGAAGAACACCAAUGGCGAAGGCAGCUCUCUGGGACGGUACUGACGCUGAGACGCGAAAGCGUGGGGAGCGAUCCGG
rnacentral:rRNA from 1 species